rnacentral:rRNA from 1 species
GACGAACCGUGCGAACGUUGUUCGGAAUCACUGGGCUUAAAGGGCGCGUAGGCGGCUUGGCAAGUGGAUGGUGAAAUCCCUCGGCUUAACCGAGGAACUGCCGUCCAAACUGCUUUGCUUGAGGCCGGGAGAGGCGAGUGGAAUUCCCAGUGUAGCGGUGAAAUGCGUAGAUAUUGGGAGGAACACCAGUGGCGAAGGCGGCUCGCUGGACCGGUUCUGACGCUGAUGCGCGAAAGCGUGGGGAGCAAACGGG